rnacentral:rRNA from 1 species
UAAUACAGAGGGUGCAAACGUUGCUCGGAAUUAUUGGGCGUAAAGCGCGUGUAGGCGGCUUGUUAAGUUGGUUGUGAAAACCCAUGGCUCAACCAUGGAAGGGCGUCCAAAACUGGCAAGCUAGAGUCCCGACGAGGAUGGCGGAAUUCCCAGUGUAGAGGUGAAAUUCGUAGAUAUUGGGAGGAACACCGGUGGCGAAGGCGGCCAUCUGGGAGGGCACUGACGCUGAGACGCGAAAGCGUGGGGAGCAAACA